rnacentral:rRNA from 1 species
UUAAGGUACUAAGGGCGCACGGGGGAUGCCUAGGCACCGACGGCCGAUGAAGGGCGUGGCAAGCUGCGAAAAGCUUCGGUGAGGCGCAAGCGGCCUUUGACCCGGAGAUACCCGAAUGGGGCAACCCGGCUGGUUUAAGACCAGUCACCCGCAAAUAGCGGGGGGAACCCGGCGAAGUGAAACAUCUCAGUAGCCGGAGGAAGAGAAAUCGAACCUUGAGAGAUUCCCUGAGUAGUGGUGAGCGAAAGGGGAAGUAGCCUAAACCACGGGCGUGCAAGGCUGCGGCCGUUGCGUACGUGGGGUUGAGGGGAUGUCGAGGCGGCUGCCGCAGUGGCCGCGUGAAGUUACAAAACCUGUAUCUAGCCGAACCGUGUUGGGAAAGCGGGCCACAGAAUGUGAAAGCCACGUAGGCGAAAGAGACGGGACUUCACCGGACAUACCCCGAGUAGGCCGGAGCACGUGGAAUUCCGGUUGAAUCAGGGCGGACCACCGUCCAAGGCUAAAUACCGUUGGUGACCGAUAGUGAAGCAGUACCGAGAGGGAAAGGUGAAAAGCACCCCUGGCGGGGAGUGAAAAGACCUGAAACCGUGCGCUUACAAGCAAUCGUAGUCCGGCACCCAGCCUGGGGUAUCAGAUUCCCGGGUCUGGAAUGGGGCCUUGGGUAACUAAUACCUUGAGCUGGGUGUCGGAUGGCGGUGUGCCUAUUGAAGAAUGAGCCGGCGAGUUACGGUAUGUGGCGAGGUUAAGGGCUUAUAGGUCUGGAGCCGCAGGGAAACCGAGUCUUAAUAGGGCGAACUAGUCGCAUGCUGUAGACCCGAAGCCGUACGAUCUAUCCAUGGGCAGGUUGAAGCCUCGGUGAAACGAGGUGGAGGACCGCACCACCGGCUGUUGAAAAAGCCUUGGAUGACCUGUGGAUAGGAGUGAAAAGCUAAUCGAGUACGGUGAUAGCUGGUUCUCCCCGAAAUGCAUUUAGGUGCAGCCUCGUAUAAAAAGAGUGGCGGGGGUAGAGCUACUGGAUGGAUGAGGGGGACUGGGGUCCUACCGAUUUCAACCAAACUCCGAAUACCGUUACUUGUAGAUACGGGAGUGAGACUACGGGUGAGAAGGUUCGUGGUCUAAAGGGAAACAGCCCAGACCGACAGCUAAGGUCCCUAAGCCCGCGCUGAGUGUGACAAGGAUGUGGGGGAGCCUGGACAGCCAGGAGGUUGGCUUAGAAGCAGCCACCCUUGAAAGAGUGCGUAACAGCUCACUGGUCGAGCGCCCCUGCGCCGAUAAUGUAGGGGGCUAAGCGCGGCGCCGAAGCUUCGGAACAUACAUACUUAAUAGUAUGUGUAGUUGGUAGGGGAGCGUUCUGUACGGGGCGAAGUCGUGUCGUGAGGCGCGGUGGACUGUACGGAAGUGAGAAUGCCGGCAUAAGUAGCGAGAAACGCGUGGGAAACGCGUUCGCCGAAUGCCCGAGGAUUCCUGGGGAAGGUUCAUCCUCCCAGGGUUAGGCGGGACCUAAGGUGAGGCCGAAGGGCGUAGCCGAUGGACAGCAGGUAGACAAUCCUGCCCCGCCCCGUAACCGUUACUACCGAUGGGGUGACGCAAGAGGCUAGGUGCUCCGGGUGAUGGAAAACCCGGUACAAAGGAGUAGGGGGACGGUCCAGGCAAACCCGGACUGUUGUUAACCCUGAGACCUGACGUGGAUCCGCCGUAACGGUGGAGAAGUCAUUGAGGCCCUAUUGCCGAGAAAAGCCUCUAGGGAGGGUAUGGGGCGCCCGUACCUCAAACCGACACAGGUGGGCUGGCUGAGCAGGCUAAGGCGGACGAGAUAACCCUCACCAAGGAACUCUGCAAGUUGACCCCGUAACUUAGGGAGAAGGGGUGCCGCGGCGGUGAAAUAUAGACAUAUGGAGCUGCUUGCGGUCGCAGAAACCAGGCCCAGGCGACUGUUUAGCAAAAACACAGGACUCUGCUGAAGGCGUGAAGCCGACGUAUAGGGUCUGACACCUGCCCGGUGCUGGAAGGUUAAGGGGAGAGGUUAUUGAUCUUUCGGGAUCGAGAAGCUUUGAACCGAAGCCCCAGUAAACGGCGGCCGUAACUAUAACGGUCCUAAGGUAGCGAAAUUCCUUGUCGGGUAAGUUCCGACCUGCACGAAUGGUGUAACGAUCUGGGCGCUGUCUCGGUGGGGGGCUCGGUGAAAUUGUGGUACCGGUAAAGACGCCGGUUACCCGUGGUGGGACGGGAAGACCCCGUGGAGCUUUACUGUAUCCUGAUAUUGGGUCUCGGUAUGUCAUGUACAGAAUAGGUGGGAGGCAUAGAAGGUGCGGCGUCAGCCGUGCUGGAGCCGUCGUUGGGAUACCACCCUUGAUGUACUGGGGUUCUAACCGCGAGUUCUGAAUCGGACCGCGGGACAUUGUCAGGUGGGCAGUUUGACUGGGGCGGUCGCCUCCUAAAGAGUAACGGAGGCGCGCGAAGGUCACCUCGAGGCGAAUGGAAAUCGUCUUUGAGAGUGCAAGGGUAUAAGGUGGCCUUACUGUGAGACCGACGGGUCGAACAGUCUCGAAAGAGGGUCCUAGUGAUCCGGCGGUACCGAGUGGAAGGGCCGUCGCUCAACGGAUAAAAGCUACCCCGGGGAUAACAGGCUGAUCUUGCCCGAGAGUUCCCAUCGACGGCAAGGUUUGGCACCUCGAUGUCGGCUCGUCGCGUCCUGGGGCUGAAGCAGGUCCCAAGGGUUGGUCUGUUCGCCCAUUAAAGCGGUACGUGAGCUGGGUUUAGAACGUCGUGAGACAGUUCGGUCCCUAUCCACCAUGGGCGCAAGUGGUUUGAGGGGAGCUGCUCCUAGUACGAGAGGACCGGAGUGGACGCACCUCUGGUGUACCGGUUGUGCCGCCAGGCGCAUACGCCGGGUAGCUAUGUGCGGAACGGAUAACCGCUGAAAGCAUCUAAGUGGGAAGCCGGCCCCGAGAUGAGACCACUCGCCGCGACUAAAGCGGGUAAGGUAUCACGGAGACUACGUGAUCGAUAGGCCAGAGGUGUAAGGGCUGCGAGGCCUUGAGCUGACUGGUACUAAUUGACCGAGGCCUUAACCUC